rnacentral:rRNA from 1 species
GGCCUCAUACAUGCAAGUCGAGGGAGAAUUUUGUGCUUCGGCGCAGAAGGAAACCGGCGAACGGGUGAGUAACGCGUGGGAAUCUGCCUCGAAGUGAGGAAUAACCGCUGGAAACGGCGGCUAAUACCGCAUAUACCCUAUGGGGGAAAGAUUUAUCGCUUUGAGAUGAGCCCGCGUCGGAUUAGGUAGUUGGAAGGGUAAAAGCCUCCCAAGCCGAUGAUCCGUAGUUGGUCUUAGAGGAUGAUCAGCCACACUGGAACUGAGACACGGUCCAGACUCCUACGGGAGGCAGCAGUAAGGAAUAUUGCGCAAUGGAGGGAACUCUGACGCAGCCAUGCCGCGUGAGUGAAGAAGGCCUUAGGGUUGUAAAGCUCUUUCAGCUGUGAAGAUGAUGACAGUAACAGCAGAAGAAGCCCCGGCUAACUUCGUGCCAGCAGCCGCGGUAAUACGAAGGGGGCUAGCGUNGUUCGGAAUCACUGGGCGUAAAGGGCGCGUAGGCGGCAAGAUAAGUUUUGGGUGAAAUCCCGGGGCUCAACCCCGGAACUGCCUGAGAUACUGUCAUGCUAGAGGGCAGAAGAGGCUAGCGGAA